GUCUAUGGCCAUGCUACCCUGAACAUGCCCGAUCUUGUCUGAUCUCAGAAGCUAAACAGGGUUGGGCCUGAUUAGUACUUGGAUGGGAGACCACCUAGGAAUACCAGAUACUGUAGGCU
rnacentral:rRNA from 1 species